rnacentral:rRNA from 1 species
UACGAAGGGGGCUAGCGUUGCUCGGAAUCACUGGGCGUAAAGGGUGCGUAGGCGGGUCUUUUAAGUCAGAGGUGAAAUCCUGGAGCUCAACUCCAGAACUGCCUUUGAUACUGAGAAGCUUGAGUCCGGGAGAGGUGAGUGGAACUGCGAGUGUAGAGGUGAAUUCGUAGAUAUUCGCAAGAACACCAGUGGCGAAGGCGGCUCACUGGCCCGGUACUGACGCUGAGAUGCGAAAGCGUGGGGAGCAAACAGG